UGUUUCUUCUUCCCUAACCCCAUAACUAUUGAUGCACAAUGUAAGACGCUAUUAGUGGUAAAAUUAAUGAUUAUUUUCUAGAUUUAAUAGUUAUAUUUUUAAGUGGGGGGGAUCAGUGUUUCCUAAAGCCUAAAAGUACAUCCUCAAAAGUUAUUUUACUCCCAACCUAAAUAUAUUCAGUGUACUGUGAUAUGAAUGCUAAAAUUAAGAAAAGUAACCUUUUGGGAUCUUUUUUAAAAGGCUAAUAAAUGUAUCAAAUUGGUUGGGGAUCAAUUUAAUCUUCAAGCAUUUUAUUUCACUUGUGUUUUUUUAUUAAAGCCUUUAUUUUAAAGGUAAUAAUACAAAUUCAACAAGUAUUGGUGAGUAAUAAACUAAUGUUCCAUAUCUAAUUACCUUUAUGAUUCUAGCAUUUGCAAAGUUUGGUGUCCCAGCCAUAACCGAAGGGGUGAAAGUUGUUGACGGUACGGGAACUGAGUUGGAUGACUAUGUGUUUGAGGACGUAGUGAAGGAUCCAUCAACUGGGGUGCUAACCAUCAAAUAUGACACAGAAUCUGUCUCCGGUGCAACGUCUUGGGAGCAGUCCCAACCAUCAGCCCUGGUUUCCUCAGACUCGCAGGAUACAAUGAUCCUUUCUGAAAGCCCUUCUGGAAGACGCCAGAGGCUGGAUACAGAGGCUAAGCAGGUGAGAGUUGACGCACAAACGGCAAUAAAUUUGUUGUGACACAUUGAAAUCUGUUCCUGAUUAAUAUUGCAUAAUUGAGAUUUUACAUUACAUGGUGACAUUGUUGAAGUUGUUUAUUUAUUUCCAGCAUUUAAAGCUGUGGAAUUGUGGCUUCAAAGCAUCUGGAAACUCAAAUCCACAAGAGCCUUCUAAUCAUAUCAUUUAGGGUCUCUUGUACAUAAGAUGGCAUCUCAAAGUAUAACAAAAUAGUGUUAUCAAAAAACUAAUUUUAAAUAAUGAAUGCUUACUAAUGUACAGAAUGGAAUGUACAGAAGUCCCUAAUUUUUCUUUUUGUGGAUUUGGUUCUCCUAGUGACUUCAAGUCAACUAUGAAUUUUAAUGGAUAUACUCCUAACAGUUUUUCUUUGUGUUUAAGUUGGUGGAAUCCAUUCUUACCAAGAAAUCUGGUGGGGAACUGAUAAUAAAUGAAUACAACCGAACCAUGUCCUUGAUGGAUGAAAGCAGAAGUAAAAUGUACAUCACCACCCAGAGAGUUGAAGGAAAUGUAUGCCAAAGGUAUCGUGGCCUUACCUCAGUGACCCUUAUUCCAAGAAUGGCUAUGCGAAGCCAAGGACCUAUGCUCCUCUGUCGGUGCUCUGGCUGCCAGGACCAUCGAGUUUAAAGAAGUGGCCAUGCUGCCGGCAUCAGACCCCACUGUGGCCACAGGGAGAGCCACGGAGUUCAAACAACAGCUCCAGCACCUCGCCAACCAGGUGAGGUCAAAUGAGCAAUUUGGUCUCCUAACGCAGACCUUGGGGCCUGGAAUGGUAGAGGUGGUGGUGGAUGUUUUUAAAAAGUGUGUUGACACACACAU